CUCGACUUUUGUGGAAGGGCGGUAUUUAUUAGAUAACAAGCCAAUAUUCCUCUGGUCUAUUGUGGUGACUCAUACUAACUGAUCGAAUCGCGAGGCCUAUGGCCGCGAUAAGUCAUUCAGGUUUCUGCCCCAUCAGCUUUCGAUGGUAGUGUAUUGGACUACCAUGGCGUUUACGGGUAACGGAGGAUUAGGGUUCGAUUCCGGAGAGGGAGCCUGAGAAACGGCUACCACAUCUAAGGAAGGCAGCAGGCGCGUAAAUUACCCAAUCCUGAUUCAGGGAGGUAGUG
rnacentral:rRNA from 1 species